rnacentral:rRNA from 1 species
GUAAGAGUCUGUAGCCGGGUGUAUAAGUCUGUUUUCAAAUAUUUCGUCACAAUCGACAAAAGGGGAUAGAUACUGUAUAUCUAGAGUAUUUUGGGGGAUAGUGGAAUUUCUGGUGUAGCGGUGGAAUGUGUUGAUAUCAGAAGGAAUGCCAAAAGCGAAAGCAGCUAUCUAUGAAAUUACUGACGGUCAGAGACGAAAGUUUGGGUAGCAAACGGGAUUAGAUACCCCGGUAGUCCAAACCGUAAACGAUGCUUGCUAGGUGUUUCUUUAUGUAUAUAAGGAAGUGUCGUAACCUAACGGGUUAAGCAAGCCGCCUGGGUAGUAUAUUCGCAAGAAUGAAACUCAAAGGGAUAGGCGGGGGAACACACAAGCAGUGGAUGAUCUAGAUUAAUUGGAUAAUAAGCCAACAAUCUUACCUAAACUUGACAUAUACUGUGUCAUUAGUGAAAGCUAGUUAUUUUGUAGCAAUACAAAAGCGGUAUACAGGUGGUGCACGGUCGUCGUCAGUUCGUGCCGCAAGGUGUUCGGUUAAUUCCGAUAACGAGCGCAACCCUCAUCUUAUGUUAUUAUGUCAUGAGAGACUGCCUGGGUAACCAGGAGGAAGGAGAGGAUGAUGUCAGAUCAUCAUGCCCCUUAUGUUUAGGGCUUCAUAGGUCAUACAAUGGGUAGGACAGCGAGAAAGCAAUACCGUGAGGUGGAGCCAAUCUUUUAAAACCUAUUCUUUAGUUCGGAUUUUUAGUCUGGAAACUCGACCUACAUGAAG